rnacentral:sRNA from 1 species
UGAUAUGAAAAAGUGUUUGUUAUCAGG